CACACUGCCGAGAAAAGCCUCUAGAUAGAAAAUAGGUGCCCGUACCGCAAACCGACACAGGUAGUCAAGAUGAGAAUUCUAAGGUGAGCGAGCGAACUCUCGUUAAGGAACUCGGCAAAAUGACCCCGUAACUUCGGGAGAAGGGGUGCUCUUUAGGGUUAACGCCCAGAAGAGCCGCAGUGAAUAGGCCCAAGCGACUGUUUAUCAAAAACACAGGUCUCUGCUAAACCGUAAGGUGAUGUAUAGGGGCUGACGCCUGCCCGGUGCUGGAAGGUUAAGAGGAGUGGUUAGCUUCUGCGAAGCUACGAAUCGAAGCCCCAGUAAACGGCGGCCGUAACUAUAACGGUCCUAAGGUAGCGAAAUUCCUUGUCGGGUAAGUUCCGACCCGCACGAAAGGCGUAACGAUUUGGGCACUGUCUCAACGAGAGACUCGGUGAAAUCAUAGUACCUGUGAAGAUGCAGGUUACCCGCGACAGGACGGAAAGACCCCGUGGAGCUUUACUGUAGCCUGAUAUUGAAAUUCGGCACAGCUUGUACAGGAUAGGUAGGAGCCUUUGAAACGUGAGCGAUAGCUUACGUGGAGGCGCUGGUGGGAUACUACCCUAGCUGUGUUGGCUUUCUAACCCGCACCACUUAUCGUGGUGGGAGACAGUGUCAGGCGGGCAGUUUGACUGGGGCGGUCGCCUCCUAAAAGGUAACGGAGGCGCUCAAAGGUUCCCUCAGAAUGGUUGGAAAUCAUUCAUAGAGUGUAAAGGCAUAAGGGAGCUUGACUGCGAGACCUACAAGUCGAGCAGGGUCGAAAGACGGACUUAGUGAUCCGGUGGUUCCGCAUGGAAGGGCCAUCGCUCAACGGAUAAAAGCUACCCCGGGGAUAACAGGCUUAUCUCCCCCAAGAGUUCA
rnacentral:rRNA from 1 species